GAUGACGAUAUUGAAACACUUGAAGGAUGAUAGUUGGGAAAUGAUGGUUUCACAUGGAAAAAGAUUCUUUAUGGCCAGACCUGGUUAUACUUUGGUGUUGAUGUUCAGCAACGGCUCAUAAGGGGAGACUUGUCUUGAUCAAGCAACGAGGAA